rnacentral:tRNA from 1 species
GUUUCCGUGGUGUACUGGUUAUCACGUUCGCCUAACACGCGAAAGGUCCCUGGUUCGAGCCCAGGCGGAAACA